rnacentral:rRNA from 1 species
GACGAACGCUGGCGGCGUGCCUAAUACAUGCAAGUUGAGCGCUGAAGGUUGGUACUUGUACCGACUGGAUGAGCAGCGAACGGGUGAGUAACGCGUGGGGAAUCUGCCUUUGAGCGGGGGACAACAUUUGGAAACGAAUGCUAAUACCGCAUAAAAACUUUAAACACAAGUUUUAAGUUUGAAAGAUGCAAUUGCAUCACUCAAAGAUGAUCCCGCGUUGUAUUAGCUAGUUGGUGAGGUAAAGGCUCACCAAGGCGAUGAUACAUAGCCGACCUGAGAGGGGGAUCGGCCACAUUGGGACUGAGACACGGCCCAAACUCCUACGGGAGGCAGCAGUAGGGAAUCUUCGGCAAUGGACGAAAGUCUGACCGAGCAACGCCGCGGGAGUGAAGAAGGUUUUCGGAUCGUAAAACUCUGUUGGUAGAGAAGAACGUUGGUGAGAGUGGAAAGCUCAUCAAGUGACGGUAACUACCCAGAAAGGGACGGCUAACUACGUG